AAAUCUAUAAGUUAAAUUAAACUAUUAGCCUUCAAAGUUAAAAAUGGAAAACCUAGGUUUG
rnacentral:tRNA from 1 species